rnacentral:rRNA from 1 species
UUUGAGAUUAGUGGAACGCUCUGGAAAGUGCGGCCAUAGUGGGUGAUAGCCCCGUACACGAAAAUCUCUUGUCAAUGAAAUCGAGUAGGACGGAGCACGAGAAACUUUGUCUGAAUAUGGGGGGACCAUCCUCCAAGGCUAAAUACUACUGACUGACCGAUAGUGAACCAGUACCGUGAGGGAAAGGCGAAAAGAACCCCGGAGAGGGGAGUGAAAUAGAACCUGAAACCGUAUGCGUACAAGCAGUGGGAGCCUACUUUGUUAGGUGACUGCGUACCUUUUGUAUAAUGGGUCAGCGACUUAUAUUCAGUGGCGAGCUUAACCGAAUAGGGGAGGCGUAGCGAAAGCGAGUCUUAAUAGGGCGUUUAGUCGCUGGGUAUAGACCCGAAACCGGGCGAUCUAUCCAUGGGCAGGUUGAAGGUUAGGUAACACUGACUGGAGGACCGAACCGACUACCGUUGAAAAGUUAGCGGAUGACCUGUGGAUCGGAGUGAAAGGCUAAUCAAGCUCGGAGAUAGCUGGUUCUCCUCGAAAGCUAUUUAGGUAGCGCCUCAUGUAUCACUGUAGGGGGUAGAGCACUGUUUCGGCUAGGGGGUCAUCCCGACUUACCAAACCGAUGCAAACUCCGAAUACCUACAAGUGCCGAGCAUGGGAGACACACGGCGGGUGCUAACGUCCGUCGUGAAAAGGGAAACAACCCAGACCGUCAGCUAAGGUCCCAAAGUCAUGGUUAAGUGGGAAACGAUGUGGGAAGGCUUAGACAGCUAGGAGGUUGGCUUAGAAGCAGCCACCCUUUAAAGAAAGCGUAAUAGCUCACUAGUCGAGUCGGCCUGCGCGGAAGAUGUAACGGGGCUCAAACCAUGCACCGAAGCUACGGGUAUCAUCUUAUGAUGAUGCGGUAGAGGAGCGUUCUGUAAGCCUGUGAAGGUGAGUUGAGAAGCUUGCUGGAGGUAUCAGAAGUGCGAAUGCUGACAUGAGUAACGACAAUGCGAGUGAAAAACUCGCACGCCGAAAGACCAAGGUUUCCUGCGCAACGUUAAUCGACGCAGGGUUAGUCGGUCCCUAAGGCGAGGCUGAAAAGCGUAGUCGAUGGAAAACAGGUUAAUAUUCCUGUACUUCCAGUUAUUGCGAUGGAGGGACGGAGAAGGUUAGGCCAGCCUGGCGUUGGUUGUCCAGGUUUAAGGUGGUAGGCUGAAAUCUUAGGCAAAUCCGGGAUUUCAAGGCCGAGAGCUGAUGACGAGUUGCCU